rnacentral:rRNA from 1 species
GAUGAACGCUGGCGGCGUGCCUAAUACAUGCAAGUCGAGCGAACGGACGAGAAGCUUGCUUCUCUGAUGUUAGCGGCGGACGGGUGAGUAGCACGUGGAUAACCUACCUAUAAGACUGGGAUAACUUCGGGAAACCGUAGCUAAUACCGGAUAAUAUUUUGAACCGCAUGGUUCAAAAGUGAAAGACGGUCUUGCUGUCACUUAUAGAUGGAUCCGCGCUGCAUUAGCUAGUUGGUAAGGUAACGGCUUACCAAGGCAACGAUGCAUAGCCGACCUGAGAGGGUGAUCGGCCACACUGGAACUGAGACACGGUCCAGACUCCUACGGGAGGCAGCAGUAGGGAAUCUUCCGCAAUGGGCGAAAGCCUGACGGAGCAACGCCGCGUGAGUGAUGAAGGUCUUCGGAUCGUAAAACUCUGUUAUUAGGGAAGAACAUAUGUGUAAGUAACUGUGCACAUCUUGACGGUACCUAAUCAGAAAGCCACGGCUAACUACGU